UACGUAGGGACCAAGCGUUGUUCGGAUUUACUGGGCGUAAAGCGCACGUAGGUGGCGACGUAAGUCGGGUGUGAAAGCCCCGGGCCCAACCUGGGAAUUGCAUUCGAGACUGCAUUGCUGGAGUACGGAAGAGGAGGGCGGAAUGUUACAUGUAGCGGUGAAAUGCUUAGAUAUGUAACAGAACACCAAUUGCGAAGGCAGCUUACCAAGCCGAUACUGACACUGAGGCACGAAAGCGUGGGGAUCAAACAGG
rnacentral:rRNA from 1 species